rnacentral:rRNA from 1 species
GUACGAAAGGUGCAAGCGUUGUUCGGAUUUACUGGGCGUAAAGAGAGUGUAGGUUGUUUAUUAAGUCGGAUGUGAAAUCCCGGGGCUCAACCUCGGAACUGCAUUCGAUACUGGUAGACUAGAGUUCGGGAGGGGUAAGCGGAAUUCCGUGUGUAGCAGUGAAAUGCGUAGAUAUACGGAGGAACACCUGGGGCGAAGGCGGCUUACUGGACCGAUACUGACACUGAGACUCGAAAGCGUGGGUAGCAAACAGGAUUAGAUACCCUAGUAGUCC